rnacentral:rRNA from 1 species
UGGGGAAUUUUGGACAAUGGGGGAAACCCUGAUCCAGCCAUCCCGCGUGUGCGAUGAAGGCCUUCGGGUUGUAAAGCACUUUUGGCAGGAAAGAAACGUCAUGGGUUAAUACCCCGUGAAACUGACGGUACCUGCAGAAUAAGCACCGGCUAACUACGUGCCAGCAGCCGCGGUAAUACGUAGGGUGCAAGCGUUAAUCGGAAUUACUGGGCGUAAAGCGUGCGCAGGCGGUUCGGAAAGAAAGAUGUGAAAUCCCAGAGCUCAACUUUGGAACUGCAUUUAUAACUACCGGGCUAGGGUGUGUCAGAGGGAGGUGGAAUUCCGCGUGUAGCAGUGAAAUGCGUAGAUAUGCGGAGGAACACCGAUGGCGAAGGCAGCCUCCUGGGAUAACACUGACGCUCAUGCACGAAAGCGUGGGGAGCAAACAGG